UACGUAGGGUCCGAGCGUUGUCCGGAAUUACUGGGCGUAAAGAGCUCGUAGGCGGUCUGUCGCGUCGGCUGUGAAAACUCGGGGCUCAACUCCGAGCUUGCAGUCGAUACGGGCAGGCUAGAGUUCGGCAGGGGAGACUGGAAUUCCUGGUGUAGCGGUGAAAUGCGCAGAUAUCAGGAGGAACACCAAUGGCGAAGGCAGCUUACUGGACAGUUAUUGACGCUGAGAUGCGAAAGCGUGGGGAGCAAACAGG
rnacentral:rRNA from 1 species